CUAAUCUUGGUUUUGGCACCAAAUAGCAGUAUGAGCUCAAUCACAUAAUUAUUCCAGAGAGAAGUUGAAAUCUGAAAUCUGGAAGCAUUUGUCAUCUUCAAAAAAAGAAAAAAAUUAGAAAGAUAAUGAGGAGAAGAAUGACAUCAAUGAAAAGGCUGAAUAAGACAUCUUUUGCAUGUAACCCUCUGCAAGAACAAUAAUUUGUCAUCCAUCUGUGGACAAAAGUGCCUUCGUGGGAGGUUUGGGAUCCAGG